GAUGAACGCUGGCGGCGUGCCUAAUACAUGCAAGUCGAGCGAACAGACGAGGAGCUUGCUCCUCUGACGUUAGCGGCGGACGGGGGAGUAAAACGUGGAUAACCUACCUAUAAGACUGGGAUAACUUCGGGAAACCGGAGCUAAUACCGGAUAACAUGUUGAACCGCAUGGUUCAACAGUGAAAGACGGUCUUGCUGUCACUUAUAGAUGGAUCCGCGCCGCAUUAGCUAGUUGGUAAGGUAACGGCUUACCAAGGAAACGAUGCGUAGCCGACCUGAGAGGGUGAUCGGCCACACUGGAACUGAGACACGGUCCAGACUCCUACGGGAGGCAGCAGUAGGGAAUCUUCCGCAAUGGGCGAAAGCCUGACGGAGCAACGCCGCGUGAGUGAAGAAGGUCUUCGGAUCGUAAAACUCUGUUAUUAGGGAAGAACAAAUGUGUAAGUAACUAUGCACGUCUUGACGGUACCUAAUCAGAAAGCCACGGCUAACUACGUG
rnacentral:rRNA from 1 species